rnacentral:lncRNA from 1 species
CCGCAUGCACUCACGGAGUUAGAAUUUUUAAUAAGGGGUUCAAAAUUUGAAAAACUAAACACACGAGCUAAUAGAAGAAGUUCAACAUUUGUUAUAUAUACAUAAAAAAUAAUUUUAACCAGUAAUAUUUUCCGCCAAAGGAGUUCGGACAGAAGGCUGGCUCCAACUCUGACCGCAUGCCUGAAGCGUGUAUCGACUUAAUAUAAACAUCUGACUAUUCUUUUUGUGUGAAUUAAAAAAAGAAAUGCACCGUUUAAGCUAACAAGUCGAUCAAAUUUCAACAAAACGGGUAAAAUAUUGA